rnacentral:rRNA from 1 species
AGUAAGGGCGACUGAAACGGGAACAGCCCAGCGCAUAAUCUCGGUCCCUUCGGGAUCAGAGAGGUGUUGCGUUCCGGAGGGUCCAGCCCACUUGCCCGCACCACCUAAGUCACUUUGGAAAGAGGCCAUCAAUCCGUGGAGGGUGAUAGGCCCGUGUGGUGGAAACCUUGCCAAGGAUCUGCUGGGCAGUGGAAAGGGCCUCUCCGUAGAGUCGGGUUGCUUGAUAAUGCAGCCCAAAGCAGGUGGUAAGCUCCAUCUAAGGCUAAAUAUGACCACGAGACCGAUAGCGAACAAGUACCGUGAGGGAAAGUUGAAAAGAACUUUGAAGAGAGAGUUCAAGAGGUCGUGAAACCGCUAAGAGCCAAACGGGUGGACCCUCGAAGUUCGAACCCUGGGAUUCAAGGACGUCGGUUGCCGCUGGUCGGUGUGCCGUGACCGUCGGCGAAGUGCUUAAGUGCACCUAGCCGGCGGCCGGUGCACGUCCCACGCAGGCGCCGGCGGCUGUUUUUCCUCUGGGGGUGUAAGUAGGUCGCCACGACCCGUUGCGGGGACGUCGAAGGCCCGGGUGGAUUGGUACCCCAUCGCACGUAUGUCGCCGGCCCCGGCCGGCGGUUGAGCGCAAGCCCGUGCGGUGGGCGAAACCCCCGGUGUUCCUGACUGCCCUGCGACGGUCGGGAAAGAGAUAGCUCGAGGCCCGACCUUGGGAGCACCACGCUCGGCGGCGUCAGUACGUGUACAACGGAACAUCACGUCGGGCGGAGGACCCAUUGCGGGCUCGGCACGAAAUCUCGUGGCGUGCAACGAGUCUAAGGGUGCACUAAACCUGGAGGCGCAAUGAAAGUGAAAACUCUGCGAGGUCAGACAGGCCUCUUGCAGACCGGGCCGAUCCCCGCGGUCCCGCCCGGUACGCCAUCACGGUGGUUAAGUGCCCCCCAGCGGCAGGGUGAGUCCCUUUCCCCUGUUGCCCGCGGUGGUGGGCGGCGGCGUGUCCGAAGCCGGGGCGUGGUUCUGCCGCGUCCGGUGGUAAAGACCGUCGUCCGUCGCACGCCCGGGGGGUUCCGGGUAGGGGCCCUCCCGUCCCGACAGGGGCGGGUUGCCCACGGGAGGGGCGCAGGCCCAGGACUUGCCAAGACGGCCCGGUGUGGCGGGGCGCCCCAAUCAACGGGCGUCCCUCAGCCGGGCACCAGUCGGCAAGUACCUUGAGCAGACAUGUUAGGACCCGAAAGAUGGUGAACUAUGCCUGGCCAGGAUGAAGCCAGAGGAAACUCUGGUGGAGGUCUGUAGCGAUUCUGACGUGCAAAUCGAUCGUCGGAGCUGGGUAUAGGGGCGAAAGACUAAUCGAACCAUCUAGUAGCUGGUUCCCCCCGAAGUUUCCCUCAGGAUAGCUGGAACUCGAGAUAUGAAUUUCAUCCGGUAAAGCGAAUGAUUAGAGGUCUUGGGGACGAAACGUCCUCAACCUAUUCUCAAACUUUAAAUGGGUGAGAUGCCGGGCAUGCUUGACUGAAGCACCGGCGAACAAUCAAUGAGUACCUAGU